rnacentral:rRNA from 1 species
UAGUCUGCAACUCGACUACAUGAAGCUGGAAUCGCUAGUAAUCGCAGAUCAGCAUACUGCGGUGAAUACGUUCCCGGGUCUUGUACACACCGCCCGUCACACCAUGGGAGUCGGAAAUGCCCGAAGCCAGUGACCCAACUGCAAAGAGGGAGCUGUCGAAGGCAGGUCUGAUAACUGGGGUGAAGUCGUAACAAGGUACC